AGACUGCAAUUGUGCCAGCCCCAUAUAGGGUCCAUGCCUGGGAGGAAAGUCUCCUUUGCCAUUAACUCCUAUUGUGCAUAUAAGGGCCAUACAGAAUUUUGUCCUAUGUUUUUAUUUUGACUCUUACUUUAGUAUGGCCCAUAUUUGUACAUUAUGCCCUUUAACUAUCUCAAUAUUUUCCUGUCCCUUUAAGGUAUUAUCAUUUGUGUGACAAUCUUGCUGAUGUCACUGCGUUACCUGCCAAUCCCUUAUUCAGCAGGGAAAGUUAAGCCAGCAGGAUCUUCUGCCUGUUCUUUUCCUGGGAACCAAUAAGAUAUCUGAGAGGUAGCAGAUACAAGGACUUCAUUAACCAGAAAAAAGCUUCUUCUGAAAAGUUGCUGCAGUUCUGCCUUUUUCCCACCAGAGGGUGAUGUGGCGAUAGAACACAGCAGCAGCUCCCAGCCAGCUAAGGAAGAGAGAGAGAGCCUUCUUUGCAGCAGGCCAGAGCAGAGCCCAGGAGACUUCAGCAGCACCCUGCAGACUUAAGGGAAAGGGGCCCACUGAGGGAGAAGAUGACAAAGAUCCCAAAACUGGCUAACCGCAAACUCAUCUCCAGAGAAGAGAGCUGGAGAGACUGCUGUUUAAGGAGAGAAUGAGGGGCUAACUAAUAUAGCCUAGUUCCUAAAAGGAGAGCUGUGGACUACUGCUUAAGGAAGGACUGAAAAGUAGUAA